rnacentral:rRNA from 1 species
ACUAAUGCUAGCUCAAUCUUUUCCCCUCCCAAAUAUAACUGAAUUAAUAAAUAAAACAUUUACCUAAAUAAAGUAUAGGAGAUAGAAAUUUAUAUUAGAAGCUAUAGAAAAAGUACCGUAAGGGAAAGAUGAAAGAAUGUAUUCAUAGUACCAAAAAGCAAAGAUUAACUCUUUUACCUUUUGCAUAAUGAUUUAACCAGAAAAUACUUGACAAAAAGAAUUUAAGCCAAACACCCCGAAACCAGACGAGCUACUUAUAAGCAGCUGAUAAGAGCCCAUCCGUCUAUGUCGCAAAAUAGUGGAAAGACUAAUAAGUAGAGGUGAAAAGCCUACCGAGCCUGGUGAUAGCUGGUUGUCCAGACUAGAAUUUUAGUUCUACUUAAAAUUUACCUAAAGCAUAAAUAAGCUUAAUGUAAGUUUUAAUGUUAUUCUAAAGAGGUACAGCUCUUUAGAGUCAAGGAAUAAACCUUCAUUAGAGAGUAACCCUACUAAUCCCCAUAGUUGGCCUAAAAGCAGCCAUCAAUUAAAAAAGCGUUAAAGCUUAACCUAAUAACUAAAACUUAAUACCUAACCCUUCUUUAACCUCCUAAAUCAAGACUGGACUAAUCUAUUUAUAAUAGAAGUAAUUAUGUUAAAAUAAGUAACAAGAAACUAUUCUCCCUGCAUAAGCUUAUAUCAGAUCGAAUAAUUCACUGAUAGUUAACAACCCCAUAAUAUUAAAUAAACUUAUAAAAUCAUUAUUACCAACAUUGUUAACCCAACACUGGUAUGCACACUAGGGAAAGAUUAAACAAAGUAAAAGGAACUCGGCAAACAUUAACCUCGCCUGUUUACCAAAAACAUCACCUCUAGCAUAAAUAGUAUUAGAGGCACUGCCUGCCCAGUGACAUACGUUUAACGGCCGCGGUAUCCUGACCGUGCAAAGGUAGCAUAAUCACUUGUUCUUUAAAUAAGGACUAGCAUGAAUGGCUUGACGAGGGUUUAACUGUCUCUUACUUUUAAUCAGUGAAAUUGACCCUCCCGUGAAGAGGCGGGAAUUUUCUAAUAAGACGAGAAGACCCUAUGGAGCUUAAAUUUUAUAGUCUCACAAGAUCAAUAUUAUCUAAGGAAUUAAAAUUAUUGUUUAUAGACUAGAAAUUUUGGUUGGGGUGACCUCGGAGUACAAACAAUCCUCCGAAUGAUAAUAAUCUAGACAUACAUGUCAAAAUUACAACUCAUUAAUUGACCCAAAUUAUUGACCAACGGAACAAGUUACCCUAGGGAUAACAGCGCAAUCCUACUCAAGAGUUCAUAUCGACAGUUAGGGUUUACGACCUCGAUGUUGGAUCAGGACAUCCAAAUGGUGUAACCGCUAUUAAUGGUUCGUUUGUUCAACGAUUAAAGUCCUACGUGAUCUGAGUUCAGACCGGAGAAAUCCAGGUCGGUUUCUAUCUAUUACUAUAUUUCUCCCAGUACGAAAGGACAAGAGAAAUAAGGCCAAUUACACACCUAUGCCUUAAAUUACCAAUGGAUGAAAUUAUCUUAAUCCAGUAAAAUAUUUUAAAUAUCCGCCCUAGAAAAGGGCUU